AAUGAACGCUGGCGGCGCGCCUAAUACAUGCAAGUCGAGCGAGAAGACGUAGCAAUACGUUUGUAAAGCGGCGAACGGGUGAGGAAUACAUGGGUAACCUACCCUAGAGUGGGGAAUAACUAGCCGAAAGGUUAGCUAAUACCGCGUACGCUCCUUGGACUUCGGUUCAGGGAGGAAAGCGAUGCCGAGGGUAUCGCGCUCUUGGAUGGGCUCAUGUCCUAUCAGCUUGUUGGGAGGUAACGGCUCACCAAGGCUUCGACGGGUAGCUGGUCUGAGAGGACGAUCAGCCACACUGGCACUGCGACACGGGCCAGACUCCUACGGGAGGCAGCAGUAAGGAAUAUUGCGCAAUGGGCGAAAGCCUGACGCAGCGACGCCGCGUGGGGGAUGAAGGUC
rnacentral:rRNA from 1 species